rnacentral:lncRNA from 1 species
GUCACUUUAACAUUUAAUCCUAUACAUGAAUAUGGGUACAUUUUAAAGGAACAGCCUUAGGAAUGAUAUCAUGCAAUAUAAGGCACCAUGGUUACAUUAAGUUGUGUUUAACCAAACAAAUCGUUUAUAUAGCCUUAGAUUGGUUCAUAUUUCUAGAAGCUUAUAAGAGUCUAUGGGGGUUUGGAGAACCGCCAACGCUAGCCACAGGCACAGGAAAUUCCAUGUCUUUGGAAAUCAUGCACAAGCCAAAAUAAGGAAACCAUGGUUUAAUUUUUGUCAAUAUGCAAAUUUAUACCGAUGCGAUAUAUCGCAUCUGCAACAAAUCCAGCAAACAAAAAAGCUAGUUUUUUACCCACAAUGCUUUGCGAAUGUGGUAAAAUUCGUUUUCAGUGUCUUUACCGAGUACGCGGUAUAAGGCAUAGUUCAGUCCUAUGAAUGAUGGUUUUCAAGGCGCAUUUCAGCCCUUUCAAUUGAAAAAACUAACUAGGAAAAUCAAUUAAGU